AUGCACGAGGGUACAGACUCCGUCAAGGAAUCCAAAUUGGAUGUGCUUCAAAGUCAGCUUGACAAGUUCAAAAUGAAGGAUGGUGAAGGUGUCGCUGAAAUGUACUCUAGGCUUGCUCUCAUCACAAAUGAGAUUGCCGGCUUAGGAAGUGAAGAGAUGGCCGAUAGAUUCAUCAUCAAGAAGAUCCUAAGAGCCUUGGAUGGAAAAUAUGAUACCGUGUGUACAUUGAUCCAAAUGAUGCCCAAUUACAAAGAUCUCAAGCCAACGGAAGUCAUUGGAAGAAUUGGUGUUCAUGAGAUGUCACUCAAGGAUAAAGAAGAGCUUCACAACAAGUCAAGUGGUGCUUACAAAGCCUCAUGUGAUGCUCCUACAUCAUCAAGUGCGAAACAAGCCUUCAAUGAGGAAUUGAGCCUAAUGGUGAAGAAUUUUAACAAGUUCUACAAGAGUAGAAGCAAAGAAAGAAGUUCCAAGUCAAGUUCCUACAAUGACAAAAGAUCUUCUAGUCGUGAGCGUAAUUAUUACAAUUGUGGAAGACUCGGACACUACUCCAAUGAGUGUACGGCUCCCUACAAAUGA
rnacentral:rRNA from 1 species